GUGUCAGCCGCCGCGGUAAUACGAAGGGGGCUAGCGUUGCUCGGAAUCACUGGGCGUAAAGCGCACGUAGGCGGAUCAUUAAGUCGAGGGUGAAAUCCUGGAGCUCAACUCCAGAACUGCCUCCGAUACUGAAGAUCUAGAGUCCGGGAGAGGUGAGUGGAACUCCGAGUGUAGAGGUGAAAUUCGUAGAUAUUCGGAAGAACACCAGUGGCGAAGGCGGCUCACUGGCCCGGUACUAACGCUGAGGUGCGAAAGCGUGGGGAGCAAACAGGAUUAGAAACCCCCGUAGUCC
rnacentral:rRNA from 1 species